rnacentral:rRNA from 1 species
GGGGAAUAUUGCACAAUGGGCGAAAGCCUGAUGCAGCAACGCCGCGUGAGUGAUGAAGGUCUUCGGAUUGUAAAGCUCUGUCUUUUGGGACGAUAAUGACGGUACCAAAGGAGGAAGCACGGCUAACUACGUGCCAGCAGCCGUGGUAAUACGUAGGUGGCGAGCGUUGUCCGGAUUUACUGGGCGUAAAGGGUGCGUAGGCGGAUGUUUAAGUGAGAUGUGAAAUACCCGGGCUUAACUUGGGUGCUGCAUUUCAAACUGGAUAUCUAGAGUGCAGGAGAGGAGAAUGGAAUUCCUAGUGUAGCGGUGAAAUGCGUAGAGAUUAGGAAGAACACCAGUGGCGAAGGCGAUUCUCUGGACUGUAACUGACGCUGAGGCACGAAAGCGUGGGUAGCAAACAGGAUUAGAUACCCUGGUAGUCCACGCCGUAAACGAUGAGUACUAGGUGUAGGAGGUAUCGACCCCUUCUGUGCCGCAGUAA